GGUAGCAUAAUCAGUAGCCUCUUAAUUGGAGGCUGGAAUGAAGGGUCGGACAAGGGGGAAGCUGUCUUUUUUACAGUUUUUGAAUUUUACUUUUAAGUGAAAAGGCUUAAAUAAUUUGGGGGGACGAUAAGACCCUAUAAAAUUUUACAAAAUCGGGGUUUUUUUCUGAAUUAAGGUGUAAAUUUUAUAAAUCCCUGUUUGUUGUGUUGGGGCGGCAAAGAUAAAAAUUAGUAACUGUCAUUUAAUUAGAAUAAUUAUAAUUAGUUUAAUUGAUCCUUUAUUAGAGAUUAAAAGAUUAAGUUACUUUAGGGAUAACAGCGUAAUUUUCCCUGAGAGUUCUUAUCGACGGGAGUAGUUGCGACCUCGAUGUUGAAUUAAGGUUUCUUUUAAGUGUAGCAGCUUAAUGAGUAGGUCUGUUCGACC
rnacentral:rRNA from 1 species